rnacentral:rRNA from 1 species
UACAGAGGUCUCAAGCGUUGUUCGGAUUCAUUGGGCGUAAAGGGUGUGUAGGUGGCGCGCUAAGUCGGGUGUGAAAUUUCGGAGCUUAACUCCGAAACUGCAUUCGAUACUGGCGUGCUUGAGGACUGGAGAGGAGACUGGAAUUCCCAGUGUAGCGGUGAAAUGCGUAGAUAUUGGGAGGAACACCAGUGGCGAAGGCGGCUCACUGGACCGGUACUGACGCUGAUGCGCGAAAGCGUGGGGAGCAAACGGG